CCUAGCGGUUGUUAACGUUAGUAACUCCUUACUUUCGUUUUCAUUUUGACAUAUUUCCGGCGAAAAGAUGUUCCGAGUCGCGGACCCUCAACCAAAAAAGAGCGUCUCUUGUAUGACAGAGAAAAUUUCAAGAGAGCGUUUGAGGCCACUUUGAGGCCACUUUUGGUGGUGUUUCUGCGUACAGAGCCUCAAUGAUGAACGCUGUACCAGAAACAACCCUUAGGGAUAGAAUUAAAGGUCGCGUUGAUGUUGAGGCAAAAGUUGGACACGAGACCAUUUUCACAAUAGAGGAAGAAAAGAAGUUGUACGACCACGUGACCUAUAUGGUUGAAAUUGGAUUUGGGUACACCAAGAAAUCAGUACAGUAUAUGGGGAGAGAUUAUUGGUCUUUGGGAAAGACAAUAAAGCCGGACCAAAAUUGCCUUAGUGACAACUGGUUUUAUGGAUUUUGCAGAUAUAUCGGCUUUUCUGCAACCAAGUGAUUGAUUUUCAACAAGUACCGCGAUAUAGUGGGGUCCCAUCAUACCCUAUGUUGCAUACAGAAAAUAGACCUAUUGGUUGUUUGUUUUCAUCCUUAUUUGUUUUAGUUCAUUAAAUUUAAUUUAUUCUGAAAGAAUUUCAAUUUCUGAGAUUUUUUUAAAACUAAAAAUGGUCGCGAAGAAGUGCCAAGUAGAGGGAUUUUUGUGGUAACCACAUAUCGAGCUCUUGGAUUGUGUUUCACUCCCGAGUUCAUUGGUACAAGCUUGAGAGGCAGGACAUAAAUAGCAGAGGAGGCGGGAUAGCUGCAUUCAUUCGGGCAGAAAUUCCAGCACGCCGUCGUAGGGACAUGGAGUCUAAACACAUUGAAAAUAUUCUAUUCGAGGUAAUACUGAACUCUAAGUGGGCAAUAUCAUGUGUGUAUAGACCGCCCAAUAUAACUGACUGUGAUUUCUUUCAGAAUCUUACUAUUAUGUCAGACAAUAUUUUAACUAAAUUUGAUCACUUUAUGAUUAUAGGCGACCUAAA